GACGAACGCUGGCGGCGUGCUUAACACAUGCAAGUCGAACGGAAAGGCCUCUUUCGGGGGGUACUCGAGUGGCGAACGGGUGAGUAACACGUGAGUAAACUGCCCUUGUCUUUGGGAUAACUUCAGGAAACUGGGGGUAAUACAGGCUAGGAGAUCCUGUUGCAUGGUGGGGGCUGGAAAGUUUCGGCGGUUGGGGAUGGACUCGCGGGUUAUCAGCUUGUUGGUGGGGUAGUGGCUUACCAAGGCUUUGACGGGUAGCCGGCCUGUGAGGGUGACCGGCGACAUUGGGACUUACGGGCGGCACAAGCAGCUAAGGUUGGGAAAAGUGGGAAAGAUUGCCCGAGCAGUGGAAGGCUGGUGCAGCAGGUCCGUGGACCGGAAGACGGUCUUCGGAGUGAAAACCGCAUUCGCUCAUGACGAAGCUUUGUGUGACGGUAGUGGGUAAAAAAGCACCGGCUAACUACGUG
rnacentral:rRNA from 1 species